rnacentral:rRNA from 1 species
UACAGAGGUCUCAAGCGUUGUUCGGAUUCAUUGGGCGUAAAGGGUGCGUAGGUGGCGCCGUAAGUCUGGUGUGAAAUCUCGGGGCUCAACCCCGAAACUGCACUGGAUACUGCGGUGCUCGAGUACUGGAGAGGAGAUUGGAAUUUACGGUGUAGCAGUGAAAUGCGUAGAUAUCGUAAGGAAGACCAGUGGCGAAGGCGAAUCUCUGGACAGUUACUGACACUGAGGCACGAAGGCCAGGGGAGCAAACCGGGG